CAGUACCACGGGAAUACGUAGGGUGCAAGCGUUAAUCGGAAUUACUGGGCGUAAAGCGUGCGCAGGCGGUUAUAUAAGACAGAUGUGAAAUCCCCGGGCUCAACCUGGGAACUGCAUUUGUGACUGUAUAGCUAGAGUACGGCAGAGGGGGAUGGAAUUCCGCGUGUAGCAGUGAAAUGCGUAGAUAUGCGGAGGAACACCGAUGGCGAAGGCAAUCCCCUGGGCCUGUACUGACGCUCAUGCACGAAAGCGUGGGGAGCAAACAGGAUUAGAUACCCCCGUAGUCCCUGUCUCUUAUACA
rnacentral:rRNA from 1 species